rnacentral:rRNA from 1 species
UACAGAGGUCUCAAGCGUUGUUCGGAUUCAUUGGGCGUAAAGGGUGCGUAGGCGGCGCGGUAAGUCGGGUGUGAAAUCUUGGAGCUUAACUCCGAAACUGCAUUCGAUACUGCCGUGCUUGAGGACUGGAGAGGAGACUGGAAUUUGACGGUGAGCGGUGAAAUGCGUAGAUAUCAGGAAGAACACCCGUGGCGAAGGCGGCUCUCUGGGACGGUACUGACGCUGAGACGCGAAAGCGUGGGGAGCGAACAGG